UACGUAGGGUGCAAGCGUUAAUCGGAAUUACUGGGCGUAAAGCGUGCGCAGGCGGUUUUGUAAGUCUGUCGUGAAAUCCCCGGGCUCAACCUGGGAAUUGCGAUGGAGACUGCAAGGCUAGAAUCUGGCAGAAGGGGGUAGAAUUCCACGUGUAGCAGUGAAAUGCGUAGAGAUGUGGAGGAACACCGAUGGCGAAGGCAGCCCCCUGGGUCAAGAUUGACGCUCAAGCACGAAAGCGUGGGGAGCAAACAGG
rnacentral:rRNA from 1 species